CCUGGGUUUUGUCAGUCCUUUCUAUCCCAUCAAUCUAGCGCAUUAACCUGGUAAUCUUAUGUCCGAGGCCCUUAAGUCCCUUCCAUGUCCCAUCCGCAGUUCUUCUUCAUAUUUAUACCUGUACUUUACUUUGUCUCCUGCUCCUUUCACUCGUGGGAACUCCAACUUAACAGUGUUUUUGACCCUUCUCAACAAAUCAGCCCCUUUUCCAUAGUCCACACUAAACUCCAUGUGGUAUUUAAAAACAUGUUUCAAAAUCCCUCCAGAAUUAAGAGCCCCCACAACCCCAAACAUCUCACGGCCCAUUGCCAGACUUGAAAAGUCCAAACAUCCCUGCAUAGGGGGGUCUAUCCAACCCCCCAUUUCCAAACCAAAC
rnacentral:lncRNA from 1 species